rnacentral:rRNA from 1 species
UUGAUCCCUGGCUCAGGACGAACGCUGGCGGCGUGCCUAAUACAUGCAAGUCGAGCGGACAGAAGGGAGCUUGCUCCCGGAUGUUAGCGGCGGACGGGUGAGUAACACGUGGGUAACCUGCCUGUAAGACUGGGAUAACUCCGGGAAACCGGAGCUAAUACCGGAUAGUUCCUUGAACCGCAUGGUUCAAGGAUGAAAGACGGUUUCGGCUGUCACUUACAGAUGGACCCGCGGCGCAUUAGCUAGUUGGUGAGGUAACGGCUCACCAAGGCGACGAUGCGUAGCCGACCUGAGAGGGUGAUCGGCCACACUGGGACUGAGACACGGCCCAGACUCCUACGGGAGGCAGCAGUAGGGAAUCUUCCGCAAUGGACGAAAGUCUGACGGAGCAACGCCGCGUGAGUGAUGAAGGUUUUCGGAUCGUAAAGCUCUGUUGUUAGGGAAGAACAAGUGCAAGAGUAAC